AAGCAGAGCUGGGAGGUUGCUGGGCUGCCCAGCGGUGCCCUCUCCAUCGGGCACAGGCGGAUCCAGCGAUGCCCCAAGCUGUGAGAGUGCUGCAAGCUCCAGCGUCCCCAGGUGGCUGGUUGCUUCAGAGGACUAAGAGUUGCAGUAAGCUUUGUGAAGCAAGAAAUCCAGAUUAAAAUGUAUGGGAGCCUAAAAAGGAGAAGUACCUUUCUGCUGGAACCACAUGGAGAACCUCCUCCCACUAUUUAAGACUUCCCACUAUUUAAGAAAAUGUUUUGAACCCCAAAGGAACAGUCAGCUUCCUGGGUAGUUAGCAACCAAGUAUCCAAGAUGUCAGAUGAAUGCUGAGAGAGUUGAGAUGCAGUGAUUGGAUGUGGUUCUGUGAAACUAUAUCCAAGACCUGAGGGAGAGUUAUGCAAUCUCAAAUUGAAAGACUCAAGUCCGAGAUCCAGGGAUGUCAAAGCUGGGCCGGUGCUAUUAAAAUUAGAAUGGUGUGAUUGUCUGAAAUUGCACAAAACUCUCAGUAUCGUUGGGACUGGAAGGAAAAGCAUAUAGAAUUUUCCCCCAUCCAGGACAAUAGGAAGAUGUCUGACAAAGACCGUGCACUGUGACUUGCCCUUGAAAAGAACAGGUGACACUUCCUGUUGGGUGACGAAGAGAUCUAUUUUUGGCAUCUCUCAAGGCUGAAAAUGGACUUUGCUAUGUCAGAUCUGAGGAACUAUUUACGAUCUCUCCUGAAUGUUCUGCUGAAAUGGUCCACAAAAUAGUUUUGGACCCCCCCCAGGAGAUGAGAUGCUUUGAGUGUAAUUGUCUGAAUGUAAACAGUCCAUAGGUUCAUUUUCUCUUGGCAAAGGGGGUCUAAUCUGGCACCUCCCUGCUUGUUCAAAUGGAACAGCAGUGUUAUCCAUGACUACCUGCACAGUAUCAUCUUUGAUGAGAGGGAGAAAAACCUGACAGACCAGGUGGAUAGCUCAAAGUUCUUCAGCACUGAUGUGCAGAGACAGAUCUUUAUUUGACCAGAGUCCCUGAGUCUGGAGGUCCCCUACAUGAGCUCCCCAUCCGAGAAACAAAACAUCUAUGACCAGGGGCAUGGCGGGCAGAGUUGUGGAAAAAAGAAACCCACUUUGAAAACUCUGGUGGGGUCCCAUCCACUAAUCCAGGGACAAGAAGACACCUGCAGGUAUAUGAUUUAGUACAUCCAGCUAACAAAAGGAAUGAUAGACCAGCUCUGAAUAACUCUUAAGCGAAGUCUGGCAUGCACAAGUCACCAUGUGACCGAGAAGUCUCAGAAAAUUCCUCACUGCUGUACGAGGAUACACCUUGAAGUCCCUGCAAAGGUUCAAUAUUGUUGGAAGCCUGGCCUGAUGUAAAUAUGCUCUUGUAGUCAUAGAAUCAAGAACUGCUACUAUGAAUUCGAUUCUCUGCAAAGGCAGAACAACUUAUGUGUCCUUGCUGAUCAACAGGCCCAAUGAACAAAGGCAACCACCACACACUGUAGAGGACUGGAUCUUUUGAAUGGCUACCUCCACUUGCUCCCUUGACUGACCUCAAACCAACCAAACAUGGGCAUACCUAGGCACCCACUUUCUUGGAUUGUGCUGCAAUGGCUGCCAUGCACUUUGUGGAGACUUGAGGGGCUGAAGACAGGCCAAAGGCAAGGUCUGUUAACUGAUAACUAUCUGCUACAAUAAACCUUAAAAACCUCCUGUGACUCUGGUGAAUGGCCACAUGGAAGCAGGCAUCCUUUAAGUUGAGGGCAGCAAAUCAGUCACUGGGAUCUAGGGAUGAGAUAAUAGAUGCUAGGGUAACCAUACAAAACUUUUUUUAAAAAUGUAUGUGUUGAGUUUUUGCAGGUCUGAGGCCUCUCUUGGACUUUGGAAUGAGAAAAUAAUGGGAAUAGAAUCCCUUCAUCUGUGGCCCCGAAUUGUAACAGAGGUUGAACUUCUUGAAUUAGACGUCUCGAGAAAAUAGUUUCUGACAAGGGAUGAGGUGGGGAGGAAUGGGAACGGGGAAUAGAGGAAAAGUGCAGGGUUUAUCCCAUUUCCAAUAUGCUUAGUACCCAUUGAUGAGUGGAACAACAUGCUGCCAAGGGAGGGGAAAUCAGAGUGAGUGGUAUGCUGGCUUCAACUAAGAAGUCAGACUGCUUAAAUGCUAUAAGAUUGUUUAGAGGUAGCAGAUGGUGGUGGAGGUGGCAGAGGAGGUAGUAGUCUUCUUUGAGUCUUAUGGCACCUCCUAGUUUUGGUCCAGCUGACUUGUAGGGUAGAACAGGUACCUUUACUGGACCUGGAGACAGAACUGC